GACGAACCGUGCGAACGUUGUUCGGAAUCACUGGGCUUAAAGGGCGCGUAGGCGGCUUCGCAAGUCCGGGGUGAAAGCCCCCAGCUUAACUGGGGAAGGGCCUCGGAAACUGCGGAGCUCGAGGGAGGUAGGGGCAGGGGGAACUUCUGGUGGAGCGGUGAAAUGCGUUGAUAUCAGGAGGAACACCUAUGGCGAAGGCAGCUCGCUGGGACGGUACUGACGCUGAGGCGCGAAAGCGUGGGGAGCGAACAGG
rnacentral:rRNA from 1 species